rnacentral:rRNA from 1 species
GAUGAACGCUGGCGGCGUGCCUAAUACAUGCAAGUCGAGCGAACAGAUGAGGAGCUUGCUCCUCUGACGUUAGCGGCGGACGGGUGAGUAACACGUGUAUAACCUACCUAUAAGACUGGGAUAACUACGGGAAACCGGAGCUAAUACCGGAGAAUAUAUUGAACCGCAUGGUUCAAUAGUGAAAGACGGUUUUGCUGUCACUUAUAGAUGGAUCCGCGCCGCAUUAGCUAGUUGGUAAGGUAACGGCUUACCAAGGCAACGAUGCGUAGCCGACCUGAGAGGGUGAUCGGCCACACUGGAACUGAGACACGGUCCAGACUACUACGGGAGGCAGCAGUAGGGAAUCUUACGCAAUGGGCGAAAGCCUGACGGAGCAACGCCGCGUGAGUGAUGAAGGUCUUCGGAUCGUAAAACUCUGUUAUUAGGGAAGAACAAAUGUGUAAGGAAAUAUGCACGUCUUGACGGUACCUAAUCAGAAAGCCACGGCUAACUACGUG